rnacentral:lncRNA from 1 species
AUAGAUAUAUAGAACUAAGUAUAUCUGCAGUAAAAAUAUACAUUCCUGUUUGACUUUUUUCUUUGCAUGAUAUUUCUUUCUGUUGUUGUAUUAUUUCUAAUUUAUAAAUAAUUAUUCAAAUGCUUUUGAUUUUUCAUAAGUAUCAUUUUAGAAUGUAUUGCAUUUUAAUGUUUGUUCACGUAAUCUGCUUGUUCUGCAUAACUCUGAGCUAAAUUUUUCCUACUUGCUCAUUUAGAAAUGAGUAAACAGCUGCCAAGUUUCUUGAUAGCUAUUUGUCUUAAUUUCUAGUUUGGUACAGUUUUAAACCUGCUUUAAUUGUCAAUUAGAAUUAAAGCAUUAAAAUUUCACUUAAUUGAGAAUCAUAGAGGUCACAAAACAUUUUUAUAUAAUAUGCCAUCUAUUGGACAUGCCAUUAUACUGUGACUUAUUCUGUCAGGUAUAGGUAUCGCUAUCAAAAAAUAAAUGUUUCAAAAACAUAAAAGUAUUUUCCUGGUAAAUUAAGAAGCCAGACAAUUUCCCUCGGGAAUUUUCUAAUGUAUUAACAUUUUUAUGGACUUAUUUUCUACAUCUUCAGUUAAAACAUGUAUCUUCUACAAGAACAAUUAUGAAGACUAUUGGUUUCUUCCUUAGACUGAAGAUGGGAAACUAAUCAUUGAAGGAAUGCUGGAUAUUUUGGGGGGAGUAAAACAGCCUAUACAGCUGAAGAUGCAAGAUGAAAAGCAGAUCUCUUCUUUUACCACACUGACUUUACCAGAUACUUUUUCCACCAAAGGGUACCAUGCAGCAGAGCUACAUUCAACCUUCAUUUUCUGGGAUCCACACCCUGUGCUCUCCAUUCCUCUGCUACAGGGCUUUUCUCCUGGAAGUCUGCACUCCUUCUCUGGAAGAGACAAACUGUAA